UACGGGGGGGGGCAAGCGUUUGUUCGGAAUUACUGGGCGUAAAGGGCUCGUAGGCGGCCAACUAAGUCGGAUGUGAAAUCCCCAGGCUCAACUUGGGGAACUGCAUCCGAUACUGGAUGGCUUGAAUUCGGGAGAGGGAUGCAGAAUUCCAGGUGUAGCGGUGAAAUGCGUAGAUAUCUGGAGGAAUACCGGUGGCGAAGGCGGCAUCCUGGACCGACAUUGACGCUGAGGAGCGAAAAGCUAGGGGGAGCAAAACGGGG
rnacentral:rRNA from 1 species